rnacentral:rRNA from 1 species
GACGAACGCUGGCGGCGUGCUUAACACAUGCAAGUCGAACGGAAAGGCCCUGCUUUUGUGGGGUGCUCGAGUGGCGAACGGGUGAGUAACACGUGAGUAACCUGCCCUUGACUUUGGGAUAACUUCAGGAAACUGGGGCUAAUACCGGAUAGGAGCUCCUGCUGCAUGGUGGGGGUUGGAAAGUUUCGGCGGUUGGGGAUGGACUCGCGGCUUAUCAGCUUGUUGGUGGGGUAGUGGCGUACCAAGGCUUUGACGGGUAGCCGGCCUGAGAGGGUGACCGGCGACAUGGGGACUGAGAUACGGCCCAGACUCCUACGGGAGGCAGCAGUGGGGAAUAUUGCACAAUGGGCGGAAGCCUGAUGCAGCAACGCCGCGUGCGGGAUGACGGCCUUCGGGUUGUAAACCGCUUUCGCCUGUGACGAAGCGUGAGUGACGGUAAUGGGUAAAGAAGCACCGGCUAACUACGUG